rnacentral:rRNA from 1 species
UGGGGAAUAUUUGACAAUGGGCGAAAGCCUGAUCGAGCAAUGCCGCGUGAGUGAUGAAGGCCUUAGGGUUGUAAAGCUCUUUUAGUAGGGAAGAUUAUGACGGUACCUACAGAAAAAGUCCCGGCUAACUUCGUGCCAGCAGCCGCGGUAAUACGAAGGGGGCUAGCGUUACUCGGAAUUACUGGGCGUAAAGCGUGCGUAGGCUGUUUUGUAAGUUGGUAGUUAAAUUCUCGGGCUCAACUCGAGGCCUGCUACCAAUACUGCAGGACUAGAGUACUGGAGAAGAUAGUGGAAUUCCUAGUGUAGAGGUGAAAUUCAUAGAUAUUAGGAGGAACACCAGAGGCGAAAGCGACUAUCUGGCCAGAAACUGACGCUGUUGCACGAAAGCGUGGGGAGCAAA